rnacentral:rRNA from 1 species
GACGAACGCUGGCGGCGUGCUUAACACAUGCAAGUCGAACGGAGUGGCGAACGGGUGAGUAACACGUGGGUGACCUGCCCUGCCCUUCGGGAUAAGCCUGGGAAACUGGGUCUAAUACCGGAUAGUGUGGGAUGGGCCCGCGGCCUAUCAGCUUGGUGUUGGGGUAAUGGCCUACCAAGGCGGCGACGGGUAGCCUACAGGAGAGGGUGGACGGCCACAUUGGGAAUGAGACACGGACGAGACACGUACGGGAGGUAGGAGUGUGGAAUAUUGCACGAUGGGCGGAAGACUGAUGCAGCGACGACGCGUGGGGGAUGACGGCCUUAGGGUUGUAAAAUACUUUAAACAGCGAAGAGGUAGAUGGACAAGAAGCAACGGCUAACGACGUGCCAGCAGCCGCGGUAAUUU